GAUGAACGCUGGCGGCGUGCCUAAUACAUGCAAGUCGAGCGAACAGAUGAGGAGCUUGCUCCUCUGACGUUAGCGGCGGACGGGUGAGUAACACGUGGAUAACCUACCUAUAAGACUGGGAUAACUUCGGGAAACCGGAGCUAAUACCGGAUAAUAUAUUGAACCGCAUGGUUCAAUAGUGAAAGACGGUUUUGCUGUCACUUAUAGAUGGAUCCGCGCCGCAUUAGCUAGUUGGUAAGGUAACGGCUUACCAAGGCAACGAUGCGUAGCCGACCUGAGAGGGUGAUCGGCCACACUGGAACUGAGACACGGUCCAGACUCCUACGGGAGGCAGCAGUAGGGAAUCUUCCGCAAUGGGCGAAAGCCUGACGGAGCAAUGCCGCGUGAGUGAUGAAGGUCUUCGGAUCGUAAAACUCUGUUAUUAGGGAGGAACAAAUGUGUAAGUAACUAUGCACGUCUUGACGGUACCUAAUCAGAAAGCCACGGCUAACUACGUGCCAGCCGCCGCCGUAA
rnacentral:rRNA from 1 species